rnacentral:rRNA from 1 species
AUCUUGCGCAAUGGGGGAAACCCUGACGCAGCCACGCCGCGUGGAGGAUGACACCCCUAUGGGGCGUAAACUCCUUUUCUGCGGGAAGAACGCCGGCCUCGGGCCGGGAUGACGGUACCGCAGGAAGAAGCACCGGCUAACUCCGUGCCAGCAGCCGCGGUAAUACGGAGGGUGCAAGCGUUGUCCGGAUUUAUUGGGUGUAAAGGGUGUGUAGGCGGGGCCGUAAGUCAGGGGUGAAAGGUUGCAGCUUAACUGCGACAUUGCCUUUGAUACUGCGGUCCUUGAGUGUCGGAGGGGCCACUAGAAUUCGUGGUGUAGCGGUGAAAUGCGUAGAUAUCACGAGGAAUACCAGAGGCGUAGGCGGGUGGCUGGACGACAACUGACGCUGAGGCACGAAAGCGUGGGGAGCGAACAGG